GACGAACGCUGGCGGCGUGCUUAACACAUGCAAGUCGAACGGAAAGGCCCUGCUUUUGUGGGGUGCUCGAGUGGCGAACGGGUGAGUAACACGUGAGUAACCUGCCCUUGACUUUGGGAUAACUUCAGGAAACUGGGGCUAAUACCGGAUAGGAGCUCCUGCUGCAUGGUGGGGGUUGGAACGUUUCGGCGGUUGGGGAUGGACUCGCGGCUUAUCAGCUUGUUGGUGGGGUAGUGGCUUACCAAGGCUUUGACGGGUAGCCGGCCUGAGAGGGUGACCGGCCACAUUGGGACUAAGAGACGGCCCAGACUCCUACGGGAGGCAGCAGUGGGGAAUAUUGCACAAUGGGCGGAAGCCUGAUGCAGCAACGCCGCGUGCGGGAUGACGGCCUUCGGGUUGUAAACCGCUUUCGCCUGUGACGAAGCGUGAGUGACGGUAAUGAGUAAAGAAGCACCGGCUAACUACGUG
rnacentral:rRNA from 1 species